rnacentral:rRNA from 1 species
UACGGAGGGUGCAAGCGUUAUCCGGAAUCACUGGGUUUAAAGGGUACGUAGGCGGCGGUAUAAGUCAGACGUUAAAGACCGGGGCUAAACCUCGGCACGCGUUUGAAACUGUACGGCUUGAAUCUGUUCGAGGUGCAUGGAAUGCUUCAUGUAGCGGUGAAAUGCAUAGAUAUGAAGUAGAACACCAAAUGCGAAGGCAGUGCACUAGGGCAGUAUUGACGCUGAGGUACGAAAGCGUGGGUAGCGAACAGG